GAUGAACGCUGGCGGCGUGCCUAAUACAUGCAAGUCGAGCGAACGGACGAGAAGCUUGCUUCUCUGAUGUUAGCGGCGGACGGGUGAGUAACACGUGGAUAACCUACCUAUAAGACUGGGAUAACUUCGGGAAACCGUAGCUAAUACCGGAUAAUAUUUUGAACCGCAUGGUUCAAAAGUGAAAGACGGUCUUGCUGUCACUUAUAGAUGGAUCCGCGCUGCAUUAGCUAGUUGGUAAGGUAACGGCUUACCAAGGCAACGAUGCAUAGCCGACCUGAGAGGGUGAUCGGCCACACUGGCACUGAGACACGGUCCAGACUCCUACGGGAGGCAGCAGUAGGGAAUCUUCCGCAAUGGGCGAAAGCCUGACGGAGCAACGCCGCGUGAGUGAUGAAGGUCUUCGGAUCGUAAAACUCUGUUAUUAGGGAAGAACAUAUGUGUAAGUAACUGUGCACAUCUUGACGGUACCUAAUCAGAAAGCCACGGCUAACUACGUG
rnacentral:rRNA from 1 species